rnacentral:lncRNA from 1 species
GUCUCAAAAAAGAAAGAAAGAAAGAAAAUAAAUUAAUUUUCUCAUAGUUCUGGAACCUGAGAAGCCCAAGAUCAAGGCACCAGCAGGUUCAGUUGUUUGGAAAGGGCUGCUCUCUGCUUCCUGGAUGGGACCUUAUUGCUGUAUCUUGUGGAGAGGGGGAUCCCUGUGUCCUCACAGGGUGGAAGGCAGAAAGGGUUGUGCAUUUCACUAUGAUGUAUCUAGAUGUGGAUUUUUUUGCUUGGGAUUUACCUGGCUUUAUUGGGCUUCCUAGAUCUGAAUAUUGAUAUAUUAUCCAUGAAUAUUUUGAUACCUGGAUUACAGCUGAAUUCUCCCAAAGAUAAGUUACUUCUGACUGAGAGAGCUGUCAGGCCUCUGAGCCCAAGCUAAGCCAUCAUAUCCCCUGUGACCUGCACGAAUACAUCCAGAUGGCCUAAAGCAACUGAAGAUCCACACAAGAAGUGAAAAUAGCCUUAACUGAUGACGUUCCAUCACUGAUUUGUUCCUGCCCCACCCUAACUGAUAGGAUAUAUUCUCCCCUGCCCUUAAGAAGGCUGGAGAGCAAUGGCGCGACCUCAGCUCACUGCAAACUCCGCCUCCCAGGCUCAAGCAAUUCUCCUGCCUCAGCCUUGUCUCCCUCUGAUACCGAGCCGAAGCUGGACUGUACUGCUGCCAUCUCGGCUCACUGCAACCUCCCUGCCUGAUUCUCCUGCCUCAGCCUGCCGAGUGCCUGCGAUUGCAGGCGCGCGCCGCCACGCCUGACUGGUUUUCGUAUUUUUUUGGUGGAGAUGGGGUUUUGCUGUGUUGGCCGGGCUGGUCUCCAGCUCCUAACCGCGAGUGAUCCACCAGCCUCGGCCUCCCGAGGUGCCGGGAUUGCAGACGGAGUCUGGUUCACUCAGUGCUCAAUGGCGCCCAGGCUGGAGUGCGUUGGCGUGAUCUCGGCUCGCUACAACCUCCACCUCCCAGCCGCCUGCCUUGGCCUCCCUAAGUGCCGGGAGUGCAGCCUCUGCCCGGCCGCCACCCCGUCUGGGAAGUGAGGAGCGUCUCUGCCUGGCCACCCAUCGUCUGGGACGUGAGGAGCCCCUCUGCCUGGCUGCCCAGUCUGGAAAGUGAGGAGCGCUUCUUCCCGGCCGCCAUCCCAUCUAGGAAGUGAGGAGUGCCUCUUCCCGGCCACCAUCCCAUCUAGGAAGUGAGGAGCGUCUCUGCCCGCCGCCCAUUGUCUGAGAUGUGGGGAGCGCCUCUGCCCCGCCGCCCCGUCUGGGAUGUGAGGAGCGCCUCUGCCCGGCCGCGACCCCGUCUGGGAGGUGAGGAGACCCUCCGCCCGGCAACCGCCCCGUCUGAGAAGUGAGGAGCCCCUCCGCCCGGCAGCCGCCCCGUCUGAGAAGUGAAGAGCCCCUCCGCCCGGCAGCCACCCCGUUUGGGAGGGGACAUUUGGACACAGACACAGACAUGCUCAGAGGGAAGACUGCAUGAAGAGACUAGGAAAAUGCCAUUUGGAGGUAGAGGAUUGAGUGAUACAUCUACAAGCCAAGUGUUGCCAAGAUUGCCAGCAAACCACCAGAAGCCAGGCAAGGGGCAUGGAACAGAUAUCCUCCUUCACAGCCCUCACAAAGAACCAACCCCACUGACACCUGGAUUUUGGACAUCUAGCCUCCCAAACUGUGAGACAAUAAAUGUCUGCUAUUUUAAGCUGCUCUGUUUGUGGCUUUGUUAUAUACUUUGUUAUGGGAGCCCUAGGAACUAACAUAGAGGCUACUAAACAGUGCAGUCUAAAGCGAUGAGAGAUUGAACAAAAACACUGACAGUGGGGAGUUGAGAAAAAGUCACAAAUAUGAAAAAUAUCACUGAGGUAAAAGCAGCAAUGUUUAGUGAUUGGCUGAAUACGGCAAAGGAGAAAAAGGAGUCCAAGAUGGAUGAAGCUCUUAUUCUACCUUAAUCCAUCAAUGUGGUGUCAAAACUAUCUUGGUGUCCUCAUUAGAUUGUUCUUGAGGCCAGGGACCUUAUAAAAAUUCCCAUGCCUUUUCC